CCGCUGAACUUAAGCAUAUCAAUAAGCGGAGGAAAAGAAAAUAACAAUGAUUCCCCUAGUAACUGCGAGUGAAGAGGGACAAGCUCAAAUUUUAAAUCUGUCAGGUACUACCUGGCCGAGUUGUAAUUUGAAGAAGCGUUUUCCGCGCGUUCUGGUCAGUCCAAGUCCCUUGGAACAGGGCAUCGUGGAGGGUGAGAACCCCGUUCGGUUGACCAGGUGCGUUUUACGAUACGCUUUCAAAGAGUCAAGUUGUUUGGGAUUGCAGCUUAAAAUGGGAGGUAAAUUUCUCCUAAGGCUAAAUAACGGCGAGAGACCGAUAGCGAACAAGUACCGUGAGGGAAAGAUGAAAAGCAUUUUGAAAAGAAAGUCAAAUAGCACGUGAAAUUGUUGAAAGGGAAACGAUUGAAGUCAGUCGUACCGAUGGGCAUUCAGCCUCAUGAGUGCGAUCAUGUCGGGUGUUGGGGAGCUUAACCGCCCUCGCGCUUGCGUGUUUGUGCCCUACGGGUGUAUUUGUCCGUAUGGUAGGUUAACAUCAAUUUUGGUCAUCAAAA
rnacentral:rRNA from 1 species